rnacentral:rRNA from 1 species
GAUGAACGCUGGCGGCGUGCCUAAUACAUGCAAGUAGAACGCUGAAGGAGGAGCUUGCUCUUCUGGAUGAGUUGCGAACGGGUGAGUAACGCGUAGGUAACCUGCCUGGUAGCGGGGGAUAACUAUUGGAAACGAUAGCUAAUACCGCAUGACAACAGUUAUUGCAUGAUAACUGUUUAAAAGGGGCAACUGCUCCACUACCAGAUGGACCUGCGUUGUAUUAGCUAGUUGGUGAGGUAACGGCUCACCAAGGCGACGAUACAUAGCCGACCUGAGAGGGUGAUCGGCCACACCGGGACUGAGACACGGCCCAGACUCCUACGGGAGGCAGCAGUAGGGAAUCUUCGGCAAUGGACGGAAGUCUGACCGAGCAACGCCGCGUGAGUGAAGAAGGUUUUCGGAUCGUAAAGCUCUGUUGUAAGAGAAGAACGAGUGUGAGAGUGGAAAGUUCACACUGUGACGGUAUCUUACCAGAAAGGGACGGCUAACUACGUG